rnacentral:lncRNA from 1 species
AAUUUAUCGAAAUUGCAGUCAUUUAUUAGUGUGUUUUACAUUAAAAAUCAGACAUAAAUCUUAAAUAUACUUUAAUAAUAACAUAUGCAGUUGUAGCGAUUCAGUAAAAAUUCAUAACCAACAGUUUAGAAAACUUUUAAAAUAAGGCCAGAACGGAACAGGCAAAUCCCUUGAAUGUACUUUAGGCCCCCGAUAUUUUAGCAAAAAACUUCACCUACAGUAAUUACUAAAAGUAUAUCAUUUCGAAAUGUUUCAGGAGAGCUUUAGAAAGGAUUUACUCGGUUCGGGCAACAUAUUACAUCAUUAUGUAUAUAUAAAUUGUAAAACAAAAAUACAAAAUCAAGUACAACAUCUAAAACACUGAGAGUAAAAAGUACAGACAAAAUUUGUUGCACGUUUGAUGAUGUAUCGAAAAGGUUGUCACCAGCAUCCAAAUCCAGAAAUGUGGUAUACAAACAUCCGAAUACAUCCACUGCUAACAUUAAUAUUUUCAUAAUGCAGACUAAUCGCCAGUAUUGUGACUCUGUAUAUCCAAUUUCCUGGUCAUGAAAAGCACAUUUGCACCAAUAUUUAAAAUAAACAGUUAUCAACAACAUUGAUGCAGUCGAACAAAACAAAAGCGAUACGCAGAAACAUAAUCCGAAAGCUAAUGUUUCUGCUGAUAUAAUUCCAUUUUUAUACAUAUCAAAAACUGUGAACGAAUCGUCAUCAAGAUUGCUGAGAAUCUUUUGCGUAUAAAAUAAUGCUAUAGUUUGGGCACUGCAUACCAAAAUAAAUAUACCUGUUCUAAACCAUGCGACUGAAAACCUCUUAUAUCCAUUGCCGUCCUCAUCUUUGUAACAAACCAAGUAUGAUAAUAAAAAUGAGGUUAUAUCGACAAUAUCUUCUAAUU